rnacentral:misc_RNA from 1 species
UUAAGUUCAGCGGGUAAUCCUGCCUGAUCUGAGGUCUAAAGUGCUCGAGUAAAACUAUUACAAUUCAACUAAUCCGAUUAGCGUCCCGAGUGAGGCGACUCUACAACACCCGGUCCAACCGCUAAAAUCGUCGGCUAGCCUACUGCAUUUAAGACCGGCAGGGCGAACCGGCCAAGUCCACGUUCCAAUCCACAUCACCA